rnacentral:lncRNA from 1 species
CCCGCUUGAAUUAUGGAACCAAAGCUAGCUAGCUAGCUGAACUGAAAAUUCUGAAUAACUGGUACAAAUAUGCACAGAGAGAGAGAGAGAGAGAGAGAGAGAGAGAGGUGAAACACAAGCUUCUCUAAAAUUGGUUCCAAAUAUCUAAUUAAUUCAAAGAUUUUCUGUCGUACAAAUUCUGCAGGAAAAGAAAAAAACAAUUGUGCAUCAUCACUGACAUUUCUCAUUGCUAGCUAUUUACACCUCAUCAUUGUAGAAGGGUGACAGAGAGAGAGAGAGAGAGAGAUGAUUGAUGAUUUGCUGAAACUUCACUGCAGCAAUGGUUGAAGAUGCUUGCUUGCUUUGCUUUGCUUCAAGUUGGAAAAAAAUUAGUGGCUGAUGUUGAAAACUUAAACCAAUUGCAAAUUAGUCAUGCCAGCAGAGAAGCAUAACCACACAUCUCCUAAUGAUGUAGAGCCUCCCUUUCUGCUGUCUAAGAUACCCUCCAAGCCUUCUGCAUGAAACCCUAUUGCUCCUUUUGUUGGACUGAUCAGCUGCCAUGGCUGCACUGUUAAGCUUCAUAUCUCUCUCUUGCGUUUCUUCUCCUCCUAGAGUUUGCCUUAACACACAGAGGCUUGUAGCACCUUGGUUUUGGUAUGUUUGAGAGGAGAGGCAAGAAGGAUUGAUAUAAAUAGAG